AACGAACGCUGGCGGCAUGCCUAACACAUGCAAGUCGAACGAACCCUUCGGGGUUAGUGGCGCACGGGUGCGUAACGCGUGGGGAUCUGCCCUUUGCUUCGGAAUAACAGUUAGAAAUGACUGCUAAUACCGGAUGAUGUCGAAAGACCAAAGAUUUAUCGGGCAAAGGAUGAACCCGCGUAGGAUUAGCUAGUUGGUAGGGUAAAGGCCUACCAAGGCGACGAUCCUUAGCUGGUCUGAGAGGAUGAUCAGCCACACUGGGACUGAGACACGGCCCAGACUCCUACGGGAGGCAGCAGUGGGGAAUAUUGGGACAAUGGGCGAAAGCCUGAUCCAGCAAUGCCGCGUGAGUGAUGAAGGCCUCGGUGUAAGCGUACUUUACUACGGUAGUGA
rnacentral:rRNA from 1 species